UACGAAGGGAGCUAGCGUUGUUCGGAAUCACUGGGCGUAAAGCGCACGUAGGCGGCUGUGUCAGUCAGGGGUGAAAUCCCGGAGCUCAACUUCGGAACUGCCCUUGAUACAGCACGUCUUGAGUCCGGAAGAGGUGGGUGGAAUUCCUAGUGUAGAGGUGAAAUUCGUAGAUAUUAGGGAGAACACCGGUGGCGAAGGCGGCCCACUGGUCCGGUACUGACGCUGAGGUGCGAAAGCGUGGGGAGCAAACAGG
rnacentral:rRNA from 1 species